rnacentral:rRNA from 1 species
GACGAACGCUGGCGGCGUGCUUAACACAUGCAAGUCGAACGGUAAGGCCCUUCGGGGUACACGAGUGGCGGACGGGUGAGUAACACGUGGGUGAUCUGCCCUGCACUUCGGGAUAAGCCUGGGAAACUGGGUCUAAUACCGGAUAGGACUCCGGACUGCAUGGUCUGGGGUGGAAAGCUUUUGCGGUGUGGGAUGGGCCCGCGGCCUAUCAGCUUGUUGGUGGGGUGAUGGCCUACCAAGGCGACGACGGGUAGCCGGCCUGAGAGGGUGACCGGACACACUGGGACUGAGAUACGGCCCAGACUCCUACGGGAGGCAGCAGUGGGGAAUAUUGCACAAUGGGCGCAAGCCUGAUGCAGCGACGCCGCGUGAGGGAUGACGGCCUUCGGGUUGUAAACCUCUUUCAGCACCGACGAAGCGCAAGUGACGGUAGGUGCAGAAGAAGGACCGGCCAACUACGUGCCAGCCGCCGCCGUAA